AACUUCACCCCUUGGAGGAGAAGGAGCUCGCUGACCACGCAGAACCCCUGAGGGAAGUCAAGGAAGGGAAACAGAGAUCAAGGCGAGGGUAUGAGGAGAGAGGGCUGUCAAUGAGCCUGAAUUAUGAAGAUGACCUGCAGCAACGAAUCAAGGCAAGCCAGGCAAGGUUUCAAGAGCAGUUUCAGAAAGACCGAAUGGAGGUCGAGGAGGAGUCGAGGAGGUCAUUGGCUGGAGGCGAGGAAUACACGGAGUCAAGGGUGAAACGACUCAAGGCCAAUACGAGCGGGACCUGAGCGCGUUGAACUCAGCGAGCGCGAGGCCAGAACGAGAUACCUGGAAAUGAAAUCCGUUUUGUCGAAAAAGGAGGAGGAAAUUGUUUAUCUCCGCGCCCGCUUGCAUUCACAUGAUUUAGAAAUGGUUGAAUUA